rnacentral:rRNA from 1 species
UACGGGGGGGGCAAGCGUUGUUCGGAAUUACUGGGCGUAAAGGGCUCGUAGGCGGCCAACUAAGUCAUACGUGAAAUCCCUCGGCUUAACCGGGGAACUGCGUCUGAUACUGGAUGGCUUGAGAUUGGGAGAGGGAUGCGGAAUUCCAGGUGUAGCGGUGAAAUGCGUAGAUAUCUGGAGGAACACCGGUGGCGAAGGCGGCAUCCUGGACCGGUAUUGACGCUGAAACGCGAAAGCUAGGGUAGCAAACGGG